rnacentral:lncRNA from 1 species
AAGGUGAAUAUCUCCAUCGUGAUCGUCGAUGGUGGUGAAACGACGACGACAGUGGUCUCUGCGUCUACGUGGCGCCGGAAGUAGCCACUAUGUGCCAAAAGAGGUACCUAAAUGGGAAGAAACAUAAAAGUAAGUUCAUUUAAUUCCGUCGUUAUUUCCGUUCCGAAAUUUGAAUUACGCACUGCUAAUUUGUUAUUUCCAAUGUUUUGAUUUUAAUUUUUAAGGAUAGGUUUAUAGGAUCUAAUAGCUUCUUACAAUCAUACCUUUUGGGAGUCGGGACUCCCUUUUUUAUCGACCGUCGUUUAAAUAUCCGACGGUCGGAGUUCGGAAAUGGACCACAGUCACCACACGUAGGUGGCAACACAGAUCCGUUUAUAGUGGGAAAUGGUUUAAUUUUCUCACCUUAUGAAGAUAGAAGCGGUGAUCAUGAACACGAACCACAACGUUAGGUUUGGAUCCCCUUGCUCGUGACCUGGUAACAUGAUUAUGGGUUAUGUUUGAGCAUUGCAAAUUAUUUCAUAGGAGAAGAAAGAUGAUGCCUACCAGUCGUCAACUCUGGUGUGGAGAGAUGACAGCAAUGAAGAUGAGUGACUGGAAGAAAGAAGAGACGACGAAGAUGAUUUUUCUUCCUCCUCAUAGAUGGUCUCCGUCGCUCCAAGCACUUUCCUCCAACUCAUCGUAGAACUAUCUUCUUCUGCUCUCCUCUGUUGCUGUUGUAGGUAGAAGAGUUGGUGCUUGCAAUAUUCCAAGGAAUUUUAAUGUGUUCUUCAAUUCUUUAGUCCUUGUAAGAGUAGAAGACUGUAAGAGAGAGAGAGAGAGAGGAGUUGAAUAGCAUUGAAUGCUUCCAUGUGAAGAGCCUUAAAUGCUCUCUCUUCUCCUUCUUUUCCUCACUACACUGCACAGUUGUUACCAGAAUUCCUAUUGGUAUUUUCUGAUGACUCUUUCCAAGAUGAUGGAUCGAUGGGGGGUCUUUGGAAUUGGACGGAUCAUGCGUAAGAUUCAAGUUUUCAUUUCCUAUUAAUUAAUCUCCUCCAUAUGGCCAUAUGCGUUUUGUAUGCUUAAUAAUAGUGUUACACUGUUACUGGAUUAGGAUUCAUUAAGAUCAUUUUAUUCUGCGUACUAAAAUAACAUGUAAAUAAUUUUACAGAGUUAUAUGAUCGGUUGACUGUAAUGAAUAAAUAAUGUCAUUGUUAAAACUCAAUGAUAUGCAUUGUCCAAAAAAUAUUCAUUUCUGUUUGUAUUUUAGUUAAUUUGGACAUUGUAUUGAUCAAUUAGUUUGAACCAAGUAUUUUAAGAUUAAUAAUAUCAAUUAGCAAUAUUUAAUUAUACCAUAAAUCCGACUAUAAUGAUAUAAUUAGACAUUUUAGAAUAUCAUCAAAAUUCAUAAUGCUUGUUAGAAUUAUUUGUUCAUCUAUCUGUAAAUAUAUUUAUUCUUCUUUUACUUGGAUAACUGGAUAAAUGAUGAAAUCUAUUUACUGAAUGGGAAGAAGUAAUUUUACAAGAUUCAUUGAUGUAUUAUUUGUAUAGCCUAAAGGUAGAUCCUUCUACUCUUUGUAGAAAGGUAUCAUCCACCGUGAAUAGAAAAUCACAAGUCAUUGAAUGGUGGCAUGCCGAUAUCAGAUUUGAUCCUUUCCACAGCUGCUAGUGUCAUUUUCGCAAGGGAAAAUAGUAACUGGUAGCAAAGUAUGCUAUUGCUGUUGUUCAGUGUGAUUUAAUUAUCACUUCAAAUGUUUCCUUUUUUUAUCAAUUAAAUGUUGACGAUGACUUGAAAGGAAAUCAACUGCAGUGCAGAAUCCAAUUUGUCCAUUAAAAAUCAUAAUCUAAUUAUUUGUAUUGAACCAUUACAUAUAUCUCUGCCUGGAGAGAUCUUUUAUUUCUGUUUCUUUGUUCGGGGAGUAUUAAUUGAAUUUGAUUUUGCAGUUAGUAAAAUAGAAUGAGGCUCGCUCAGUUUAUGUUGGCAAGGAAAGCCUCGGAAGGUAAAGGACCCCGCUAGAAAGAACACUGACAUUGGGCAGAGCUGCAGAAGAUUUAAUUAAAUAACCUUACGCCAGUAACAGUGUAAGACUUAACUCAACUUCUCUCUUUCUCUGCCAUUUUUUUAUUACUAAGAAAAUCUCAGGUAAGAAAAACCUCCACGAGUGCGUUUGGAUGACAUUGAGCGGUAACUUUAUAUUGAUUGAUUGCCAAUUUAAAUAAUGAUGGAGUAGUGAAUUGUAGAAUGGGUAUGGAUGCAAACUAACCAAGCUUGGGUGAGCUUGAUGAUAAGCUCGAAUUGGACAAGCCUGGACUAGGUUUGUUUUGUUUCUGAUAGGCUUGUCCCAAGUUCUAUCUUGCUUGACUUGAAUUAUGCUCAUUAGGUAUUAUUGAAGUAAAAAUUAAUAAUUAUAAUCUAUUGAAUUUCGAACUUAUGAUUUAUUAUAAUAAUAUUUUUAUUUAAAACCCAAAUAUAUAGUAAUUGAUACAUAAAGUUUAUACAAUAUUAAAAUAACAAUGUACUAAUUAUAUUUAGAUUAACC